GGUUGUAUAGUGUAGAGGUUAUCACCCGAGAUUCUGAUUCUCGUGACCCCGGUUCGAGUCCGGGUACGACCU